rnacentral:rRNA from 1 species
GAUGAACGCUGGCGGCGUGCCUAAUACAUGCAAGUCGAGCGAACGGACGAGAAGCUUGCUUCUCUGCUGUUAGCGGCGGACGGGUGAGUAACACGUGGAUAACCUACCUAUAUUACUGGGAUAACUUCGGGAAACCGGAGCUAAUACCGGAUAAUAUUUUGAACCGCAUGGAUCAAAAGUUAAAGACGGUUUUGGCGUCAGUUAGAGAUGGUUCCGCGCUGCAUUAGCUAGUUGGUAAGGUAACGGCUUACCAAGGCAACGAUGCAUAGCCGACCUGAGAGGGUGAUCGGCCACACUGGAACUGAGACACGGUCCAGACUCCUACGGGAGGCAGCAGUAGGGAAUCUUCCGCAAUGGGCGAAAGCCUGACGGAGCAACGCCGCGUGAGUGAUGAAGGUCUUCGGAUCGUAAAACUCUGUUAUUAGGGAAGAACAUAUGUGUAAGUAACUGUGCACGUCUUGACGGUACCUAAUCAGAAAGCCACGGCUAACUACGUG